rnacentral:ncRNA from 1 species
AGGUUCCCCUUCGCGGCCAGCUUCUUAGAGGGACUAUGGCCGUUUAGACCAUGGAAGUUUGAGGCAAUAACAGGUCUGUGAUGCCCUUAGAUGUUCUGGGCCGCACGCAUGCUACACUGAUGCAGUCAACGAGUUUUUCUCCCUGGUUCGAGAGGAUCGGGAAAUAUUCUCAAAUUGCAUCGUGAUGGGGAUAGACCAUUGCAAUUAUUGGUCUUCAACGAGGAAUUCCUAGUAAGCGCGUGUCAUCAGCUCGUGUUGACUACGUCCCUGCCCUUUGUACACACCGCCCGUCGCUCCUACCGAUUGAAUGAUUCGAUGAAGUGUUCAGAUCACGUCAACGAGGGUGGUUCGUCGCCGACGAUGUCGUGAGAAGUUCACUGAACCUAAUCAUUUAGAGGAAGGAGAAGUCGUAACAAGGUUACCGUAGGUGAACCUGCGGUAGGAUCAUUG